AAAAAAUUUACUGUUUGUAAAACAUGCAGAUUUGAUGGUCCUCCUGUGAGCAUUUGCUAUGAAGUUAUGCCUGGCAAGACUGUCUACUUAUUAAGUAGAAUUUAUUUAGUUUGUAUUAUUAUUGUCUAAAGAGCUCAAAAAGUUCAUUCACUUCACUAUUCGUGAAAACCUUUAACUGGCAAAUGAUUUGUUUUUGUGAGUUUCCUUAAAAAAAGAAAAAAAAAGCUUACUUGCAUUUAUUCACAUACCACAUGCCCCUGAAUAAGACGUGCACAUAAAAAGAAAGUUCUUCUUUGAAAAUACGUAUUUGAACAUAAGCUAAAAAAAAAAACUUGAAACCUAUUCUUUAUGCUUGUAAGCAGAUGUUACCUCUCUCCCAGGAGAAAGCAUUUUGUUCUGUGCCAAACAGUCUACAGACGUAAUGUCCAGUCUUGGGCUAAGUCCCACGAAAGUAUGCAGGACAAAGCGUGUUCCUGCUUUCUCCCGAGACACUGCAGAAUGCAUCUGUGUGGUUACUGUAGAUCAGUGUCUUGGGACAAGCUGGGUAGGAGGUCAUCUAGGCAUCCUUCAAUGCACGGCUCCCACACGCUGGCUACUCGAAUGCAAAGCAGCAGCUCUAGCAUCAGGACAGAAGUCUACUGCCCAGAAAUGACAGGUCACAGGUGGCCUUGCUCACCUUUUUAAGGCCCUCUAACAGAAACUUCCCAGCUAUUCUGUGCUCACCAGCCAUACAACCAAGGUCAGCAUCAGAACCCAACUGUUCAUGCAAAGCAUCGGGAGGACAUCCCGAGCGCAAACCAUGGCCCCACCAACUACUUUCAAGUCAUCUACAAGCACAACACCAGUCAGAACCAAGGUAAGAUACUGGACCAUUGCUGCAGAAACAGUAGUCCACAAGCAAAAGGGUGACUGACCACAACACCAGCAGAACUGCAGGAUGCCAAGGGAGCAGCUCAUAAAGGCCCAGGAUAUGAACUGCAUAUCUGGCACACGCAGGGCAUGGCACGCCUACUACGAGGCAAUGAACGACAGAGCAGCCUCAACACAUUGUGGGCACAGCCUGCAUCUCCUGGGACUCAGAUCUCACCAUCACUACAUGCCCCCAGAGACACCCAGAUAACCCUAGAGCUGAUCAAGGUCAAGGAUUCCCUGCCUCUUCAGGACAGCAGCACAGACAUGAAGACAGACCUGGAGCUGGACAGCAACCAAUCCAAGUCCUCCGGUUGUCUGGAACAUCCUGGCCAUCCCGAUGUGCAGGAAUGAGCUGCAAAUCCACUGGCAAAGCUCUCCAUCACUGUGCACAAUGCACUUAGCAAUGCUGUCCUCCUAGUCCCAGGGACCCAUUCAACAUGAGAAAAUAUGCAGAUGCCUUUUCCUGCCUGCCCACAGUUACAUCUGUUAGCUCCAAGGUGGGAACCCCAAAGCUGAACCUCCUUUUACCCCUGUACUGAAGGUAACAAGCAAGAGAACAGGGGGUGGGCAAAGUGCCAAAAACCAUCCCAUGGUUUGUUCCCAAGAAGGGAUGAGGAACCCCAAGUUGAGCCUCAUGGCAAGCCUCCCCACCACUCCCCAUUUUGUUUGACGAGGAGAGGUGAGGGGCAGUGGGGUGGUACCACUGCAAUUGAAUCAAACAAUUAAGUCCCAUCAUUGCUUUAUGGAGGUGCAUCUAAGAGACUGUGCCAUCACUGUACGCAAUGGGUUCUUUUCACCUUUAAUCGAAGAGCAGUUCUAGCAGUCACCCACUUGACAUCCCAUUCAGUGGCUAUACUAGGACCACCCCCCACCCCACCCCACCCCAGCCCAAUGGUUGAACAAUAGCUACUGAGGUCCCUCCCUGCUGCACUUGGCUUCACCCCUGGAAUUUGAGAAAAGGCUCUGGGCCUCACACGGAGGAUGAAGGCAGCUUGCCCAGCCCCUGAUCCUGCCCAUCCACAUGUAGCUUAGAGCUGCUCAACUGAUUGUUGGGACCGGCCCCCCACCAGCUCAGCCUCCUCCUCAUGUGAAAGUUGCUUUUAUACCCUUCAUUCAAAAACACUACUCAUUAAAGAGGAUAAAAACACUUUAUUGUAAGAAACUGCAAGGUGAUGAAAAAGGGAGGACGAGUUAGGAAACAAUCAGGGAGAAAGACUUGGGGCUUUUUAUUCAGUACACAUGCAGGGCCAGUGCGCAGACAAUUCAAAUCCAAGUCCAACCCCUCACUCAGUCACCAAGAGCACCCCAUGUCCUUCUCCCAACCAAACAGUCUGUCUGUCAGCCUGCC